rnacentral:lncRNA from 1 species
AAGAACAGGUGUGGGUUUUGGGCAAACGUGCACAGUGGACAGUCUCAGGGCCUGAAGCUGCCUCUGUCCCGGAUCCUGAUUUGCCCAUUUUGAUGGUGCCUUCUCUCAUCCUUCCUCUUUCUGCUUCCAGGGCCCCAAGCAGCUGCCGCCCUGCAGGUGUAUGAGCAAACGUGGGAGCAGAUGCCUUGGGAGUGAGAUCUGCUGCGGGGACCCGGCUAGGGCAUCUCCCCUGCGUCCUACCUGCGGACGCCAGAGCCAGUGCCCAGUGGGCCCCUACACAGCUGAGUUGCAGGCUCUGCGGACUCCCAGGAAGAGCUAAGUGAGGGGCUGUGCAUCCAUGCAGGUAAGUGUGGAACAGGUGACAGCUGCAGCCUCUGGUGAGCUGACAUUUCUCCCCGACCUGGCCUCGUGUGGUCCAGAGGUGCAGGGACAUAGCAGACUGAGGGGAUGACAGACAUGCUCCUGGACCCCUUCUGCUUCUUCAUUCCUUAGCCCCCUUCAGACAGUGUGGAGUGCAGAGGACCCCGACCCUGGGAGGCAGAAAGGAGGGCUCAGCCCAGUGGACCUCCUGGUAAGUUGAGGAAUGGAGAAGGCUUUAUGCUCCAUUGCUGAUUCUGUCUCUAGCCACCACACCUGUGAUUUGGGCAAAUAGCUAUUGGAACUUGAGUGUGGCUGGAUUGUGCCCUGAGAUGACCCAGGUUGAAGCGUCAAGAAGGGGAAUCACACAGGUGCCAUCCUCCUGCACAGAGAGGGGAUAAGUGUCUCCGGCACGGGGAGGCGGAUGGUGCUCAGCCGCCAGGGCUGGGGUCACACGGCCUCCCCUUGUUGCUGGGUCUCAGCUCACAGGACUGAAUCACAGACAUGAUGAGGAUUUAACACACUUCACGUGCUUCCAUUUCUGUCAUGUUUUUAGGAAAUUGUUGCUGGUCAGUUAACUGAUGCUACUGAUUGUCACCAGAGGCCCCUGGAAGCCUAACUUCUCUCUCUUGGAAUAAGGCUCCCUGUUCAGCUUCCCGUGCAACCCAGAGUCACCAGAGACACCCAGGUGGUCCCUGGGCUGA